rnacentral:rRNA from 1 species
GAGUUUGAUCUUGGCUCAGAACGAACGCUGGCGGCAUGCCUAACACAUGCAAGUCGAACGGGAUCCAGGCUUCGGCCUGGUGAGAGUGGCGGACGGGUGAGUAACGCGUGGGAACCUGCCCAAUGGUCUGGGAUAACCGCGGGAAACGUGCGGCUAAUACCGGAUAAGCCCGAGAGGGGAAGAUUUAUCGCCGAUGGAAGGGGGCCCGCGGUCCCGAUUAGGUAGUUGGUGAGGUAAUGGCUCGCCAAGGCGACGAUCGGUAGC